rnacentral:SRP_RNA from 1 species
GCCAGGGGUGGUAGCCCAUGCCUAUAAUCCUAGCUACUGGGGAGGCUGAGGCUGGUGGAUCUUUUGAGCUGUAUUGCUCUAAACCAAUAGGGUGUCCUCACUGGCCAAUAUGGUGAGUCUCUGGGAUCAGAGAGCCAUCAGGUUGCCUAAGAAGGGGUGAACCAGCCCAGGUUGGAAACAAAGCUGGCCAAAAAUCCCAGGCAGGUCAGUAGUGGUAUUCCCCUAUGACUAUCUUUCGCAUUUCCAGACUAACCAAUAUAGGAAUACCUAGACUUAA